rnacentral:tRNA from 1 species
GGUAAGAUGGCUGAGUAGGCGUUAGGCUGUAAACCUUUUCACAGGGGUUUAAAUCCCCUUCUUAUCAAA